rnacentral:rRNA from 1 species
AGUGAACGCUGGCGGUAGGCCUAACACAUGCAAGUCGAACGGCAGCACAGUAAGAGCUUGCUCUUACGGGUGGCGAGUGGCGGACGGGUGAGGAAUACAUCGGAAUCUACUUUUUCGUGGGGGAUAACGUAGGGAAACUUACGCUAAUACCGCAUACGACCUACGGGUGAAAGCAGGGGAUCUUCGGACCUUGCGCGAUUGAAUGAGCCGAUGUCGGAUUAGCUAGUUGGCGGGGUAAAGGCCCACCAAGGCGACGAUCCGUAGCUGGUCUGAGAGGAUGAUCAGCCACACUGGAACUGAGACACGGUCCAGACUCCUACGGGAGGCAGCAGGGGGGAAUAUUGGACAAUGGGCGCAAGCCUGAUCCAGCCAUACCGCGUGGGUGAAGAAGGCCUUCGGGUUGUAAAGCCCUUUUGUUGGGAAAGAAAAGCAGCAGGUUAAUACCCCGCUGUUCUGACGGUACCCAAAGGAUAAGCACCGGCUAACUUCGUG